ACUUUCAGCAGUGAGGAAGGUGGGGUAUGGUUAAUAGCAUACUCAUUUGACGUUAGCUGCAGAAGAAGCACCGGCUAACUCCGUGCCAGCAGCCGCGGUAAUACGGAGGGCGCGAGCGUUAAUCGGAAUUACUGGGCGUAAAGCGCAUGCAGGUGGUUUGUUAAGUUCAGAUGUGAAAGACCCGGGGCGUCAACCUCCGGAAUUGCAUUUGAAACUAGGCAAACUAGAGUACUGUAGAGGGGGGUAGGAAUUUCAGGUGUAACGGUGAAAUGCGUAGAGAUCUGAAGGAAUACCGGUGGCGAAGGCGGCCCCCUCGGACAGAUACUGACACUCAGAUGCGAAAGCGUGGGGAGCAAACAGGAUUAGAUACCCUGGUAG
rnacentral:rRNA from 1 species